rfam:Metallosphaera sedula DSM 5348, complete genome.
GGGCCCGUAGCUCAGCUAGGUAGAGCGGCGGGCUUUUAACCCGUAGGCCCCGGGUUCGAAUCCCGGCGGGCCCG